UUAAGCACAACGGAUGCAAUCCUCCAGGGCUCAGACUACCCCGAGUGUUAGGAAGAAGCCUCCCCUACUGGCAGGUCAUUCCGUAUACUCAUUUCCAGCAUUUCUGCGCUGCACUUUGAAAUAAUGGGCACCGAUUUGGGUGCACCAGUGCUCUGACCUCCGUGACCAUCUGCUUUUCCAGAAACUCCUUUACCACAAGGCAACGAGCCACAGCGGAAGACUGAAGCAGCGUGUUGCAAGAUAACAGCUCACAGCACACCGUCCCCCUCUGCAGCACGGAUUACGCGGCUUGUUUUGGGUUCGGGUGGAUAAGUGGCGAUGCCCACGGCUGCUCCGCGGCAGUGCUGGACAAGCGACAAGCCUGACGUUCCCCCGGAGAGCUCUGCCACGGCAGCCAUGCCGUGCCAUGCCGGGAGCUGCGGUGCCGCUGCCCCGGCACAGCGGGAGCGCGAGGCAGCCGGCUGCAGCCCUCCACCGAGGAGAGGGACUUCUCAUGAUUAUUUCUCCGUUCAAUGAAAAACAUACUUCUCAAACAAGUUGAAAACACUUGUAAAAUCGAGUUCUAAUAAUUGUUCUGUAGUGUGCCUUCACCUUGAGUAUCUACGAGCAGCUUUGUCAGCACUUCUGAGUUCCAGAGUCAGCCAGGAGGCAAGCACCCAUCACAGACCCUUAUCACCUAGUACUUGGACAGCCUCAAAGCACGCUUCUAAAUGGAGGAAGCAAGCCCCUUCAAACAAAAGGUCAAGGUAAUGGAUUAUGCUCAAUCUGGACUGCUGAUCCAAAACAUUCAAGAAUCUGUUCAAUUUUUUUCCAGUAAGAAGUACUGAGGAAGGUAUAGUCAGGUGGCCCAGAGAGUCACGGAGUCCACAGGCUACACGUCUGCAAAACAGUACGCACUGCUGAUAAUGUGACAGCAAAAGCUCUGUGACUGCUUUGAGGGGAAAAGAGGACGUUGAAAGUUUUGCGCAAAACAGUAAAGGAAAAAUCCUCUUUUGAAGAAAAAAAGGCUAGUGCUAUUAAUAAGAACAACUUAUUACCUACGAGUUAAGCAGACUUUACCAUUCCAGUGACAACAGUUCAAUUCACACAUCCUGUAAAGCAAUGCAACUAUGAAGGAGCAGGAUAUCACCUCCCACAGCUGAUGCCAUUGCUCAGAACAAAAGAUGGCACAUUUUCAAGCGCUGCAUUACUGAGUUCCAUGCACACGAGCUCUUUUCUUCAGACUCAAAACAGUUAUUUAUCCUGAUAAGGUCCUCUGUGUGCUUUUCAGUCAGAGAAACCAACUUUCAACUAAGUUUCUUGAGGAAUAUUUAUAAUCUCUAAUAGCAGAUUAAAGGAUGUAACAUGAAAGUUAUUUUUGAUUGGAGGUGUUUGGGUUUGGUUUUUUUCUUUUAAAUAAAGGACUGCUGAGAAAGCACACUGUUUAAUCACACAGAAAUGAAAUCACAGCCACUCAAGGAGUACAGAACUCACUGCUGUACAGACAUUCUUCCCUCGAGUCAUUUCCCGGACAUCUACCCUGGCAUCCCAGCAGUACUCAACUCCUGAACAAGUUUAAAGUUGGCUAACUCAGAGAAUGCAAAGCUGAGCAUGUGACUUCAGCUUUCUGCCUGACCCUCUUUCACUCGCUACUUGUCCCGAUUUAAACUUAUUUCCUGUAAUGCAUCCGUAGCAUCACUUGAGAAGUACAAAAUUAACUGAGAAAAUAUUGGCUUUUGUUUUGUUUUUAAAUAAAUUAA